rnacentral:rRNA from 1 species
AAGACGAGAAGACCCUGUGGAGCUUUAACUAACUAGUCCAAAAGAAAUAAACUUAACCACCAAGGGAUAACAACAUCCUUUAUGGACUAGCAGUUUUGGUUGGGGUGACCUCGGAGAACAAGAGAUCCUCCGAGCGAUUUUAAAGACUAGACUUACAAGUCAAAUCAAAUUAUCGCUUAUUGAUCCAAAAAACUUGAUCAACGGAACAAGUUACCCUAGGGAUAACAGCGCAAUC